GAGAAAUACAAUGUCUCUUACUUCAGAUAAGUUUUCCAAGGUAACUUUGGAUAAACAAAUUGAGAUUUCAGAAUAUGUUUUAUUAUUUUUAGAUUAGCUUUGCAAAGGCAAAUAUGAGUCAUUAAUAUUAGAAGUUUGCAUAACAUCCAUAUGUUUAAUCAAAAUAGGAACAAUUGAUAAAGUGAGCAAACAAAUAGGAACAUG